AGACUGACACCUCCUUAAGGUAAGAGCUCCUCAAAGCUAAAUUGGAGAUGAAGGCAGAACAGCCUUUGUUGUCUUCCAGAGCGUUAUUUCAGGUCCUGCAAAAUAUGCUCUACCAUUGGAAUAAAAUGUUAACCUUGAAGAAAUCCUCAACUUAACCAUUGGCUAGUGCAUUCAUUAUGUGUUGGGAUCAUUUGAGUGCACAGUAUUGCCAGAUGUUGUUCAAUGAAACGAGUUGUACAAAGCUUUAUUAGCUAUCAUUUUCAUCAUUUUCCAAAGCAACACUUUGUCUCUCUUUGCACUCUGAAAUAAUGAGACAACUUUCUCGACUGUGUCUAAGCAGACUGAUAAGAUCAGAAGUACUUCAAGUCUUCUGGAGGCAGAAAGGUUAAGGCAAUGACUAGCACAAAAGAAGUAAUGAGCAAGUGGUGCUGCUUUUCCCAAGACAUCUUUAUUCCUUUUAAUGUCUUUAACGUUGGGUCUCUUGAUCUUCUUGAUUGCUUUGAGCAAGACAGCAAAGGGCAUCUCGUGUAUUUCAGCUUCAAGCCAUAAUCAUAUGAAAGUUGUAGCGCAAUCUUUACCAGUUUUUUUACCUUGGUCAGUUGUUUCAUGUGCUAUGGAUGAGUGAUAGGAUGUUUCUUUUGUCAUGAAAACUAUGGCUACUGAGAUAAUAUUAAAUUCUAGAACAAUCAUUGGACUCACUUCACUUACUUCAACAUUGCGAAUAAAAAACUUGGUUCUAAAUUUCUUUUUUAUGUUUUAUGUUCUGUUGGAAAUUGUCAAAAAUAUGAAAUUCAUGAAUGCUUUAUCUUUUUUUACCACCAGUUAAAAGGAAACUACUUGCAGAAAGUUACUUUCUACCAGGUGCUAAAUAUGAUCAUUGUUUACAUGUGAAGCCUUCUCGUUUUUAUUCUCGAUUAUGGCAAGAUUUCAAAGAAAGUGGAACAACCAACUUUUGCAGAUUUGAUUUAUUUUUAUACUUCACAUGCAAAAGCAAUCAAUUAACUUUUUGCAAUAUGCCAAUGACUGGUAUUCAUCUCAGGUUUUCUUAGAAUUGUACUUAAUAAUGUAUAUGUAAUUUUUUUUGCAAACCACAUAACAUUUGAAAUUAAAGUUAUAUUUUUUGUAUGCAUCUCGACCCACAAUUAAGUAGUUUCCUGUAGUCUUAAACAGAACAUUUUACCUCUUUUUCUAUAUUCAUUUAGACAAAUUACUGGAAACAAGGAGCAAAUUAACUACAUGUCAUUCACAAUGGGAGAUAAAUUUUCUCAUUGAAUGCCCACUUUGUACACCAUUUACAAUACCAUUUAAACUACUCCAAUAAUAGUUGUAAUAGAAAGACACUCCAGGAGUAAACAAGUCAUUGCCAUUGGUUUGCCUCAAAUUCACGUCCCCAAAUCAGCUUGGCUCAGAAAGUCAACAAGCAACGUUUGAUAAUGUUUAUAUAAUCACUUAAAAUUUGCAACCUUGGAAAGUUUGUAAAGAAAAUUUCUGAAGGAAAAUAACAGAAGUUUUGAGAAUUUUUUAAUCGAAUGAAAUAACAGGUUUUCUGAUAAGAUAAUAUCUGUUUAUUACUAAAUAUAAUUCAUUGUACUGGAAGCGGGUUGUCGUUCCUUUUAUGGAUAAUUCAAGAAUAUCAAACUUUUGCACCAUCAAGAAACUUUCCAAUUCAAUAAACUACAAUUCAAUACAAUAAAUCCAAUUCAAUUCAAUUCAAAGAAACUUUCCAAUUCAAUAAAAAUGUAAGCUCUGAUAUUGAAUAUGCUUCAAGCCUAAGUUUUUUACUGCCGCCUGAUUUUUACCCCAUCCUCUAAUGAGGAGAACCUGAACCCUGAAUUUUUUUUGCAAGAUUUGGAAGAAAAUAGAGUAGGACAUUCUAUUUCAAGUGUAACCACCUCAAAAUUUUUACCUCUUUGAUUUUGCUCAAAUUCUGUACAAAGUUUUCUGUUGCAAAGAUACACCUGCUGUGAAAAUGUCAGCUUCCUAGCUUGAGUGGUUUUGAAAUUUGUUGCAACCGGUCAUUACUUGUGCCAGACCUAAAAUUGAUAUCUUCCUUCACACUCAACCUAUAAAGAUGGAAUUGGUGUCAAAUGGAAGCACUUGUCAAGUUGAAACUAAAUUUCCAGUGAAAUUGAUGCUAGCCUCAAAGGCUCAAGGGCUGAGGUACAAUGUUAUUUUUUCAAUGGCUGACCACGCCCAAUUUUUUUUCCAAUAAGAUAAGUUCAUGAUAGAGCACCUCAUAAAAUUUAAAGAUUGGGUGGGCAUGGGUUUUAUCACAAUCAAUCUCAGAAUACUGACAAGUCUUUAAUAGAUCUGUAUCCUGCAUAAGCAUGACCUACUAUGACAUUUUUGUACUUUAUGACAUUGUUCUGUUAUAGAUGAAUAUUACAUAAGUGCAUGUGUAGAGUAUAAAAAUAAAUUGAAUGGAAACCUCCUGCUAAUUCAGGAAAUGAAAACUUUCAAUUAAUGUCAAGUUAGUGAAAGUUGGUCUAAACAUUUUAUUUAACUUUAUGAUUUAGGAAUUCCCAUCAAUUUUAAAUAAUUUUUCGAAAUUGGCUGUUCUUAUCCUGUAAUUGUCAAACCAGGAAGUCCUCUUCAAUAGCACCUGUCUAUUACAAGGAAACAGUAAAUAAAAAACCAAUGUAAGAAACGUGCUUUAGAAACUUCAAACAGACUUCAGACUUUGGUGAAAGCAUUUAGUACAUUACUGAAAAGGCAGUUUUUUAGUUUACGAGAUUUAAAGCCUAAAUGAAACUUUAGGGCAAAUCGGAGAAAGCCCUCUGAGUCAACAAAAAAUAAAGUCAAGAUGUGCUCCCUUUCUCAGAAAAAGAAAAGAGUGUGUGACACCCUUGAAAGAAAAUUUGAUGCUGCAUGUGGCUCCUCUCUAUCGUUGAUUUUGGAUGUUUCUUUGGGAUGAGGAAGAUGAAAUGCCAGCAGAAAUUGUGCAAAAGCUAAUUGCAAAAUUUCGCAGCACUGAAAGUAGAAGUGAAAAGAUAACAGUUCUGACUAUUUUUGUGCAAACAUGGAAUCAAAGGAAAAUAAUGGCCACCUUUGAAUUAUAAGCUUGCUCUCAAAGAAUGCAUACACAAGCAAUGCAUUUAUCAUUGGAAAAAGGCAUCCUUGCUGCCCCAAAUCCAAAAACUGGAAAAAAGUUGCCAGAGAAUGUUUUAGAGGCUGUAGAAAACUUCUAUUGGCAAGAUGAUAUCAGCAGAGUUAUGCCUGGAAAUAAGGACUGUCUAAGUAUUCUUCAAGACAGCAAGAAGACUCAGUUUAAAAAAAGACUAGUUUUAGAAAAUCUUCAGGAAAUUUAACAAACAUUCAAAUCCCAACAUCUAUCCAUGAAGAUAAGCUUCUCAAAGUUUGCAAUGGCUCGACCUAAAGAAUGUAUUUUAGCUGGAGCAAGUGGCACUCAUUCUGUUUGCGUUUGUACAAUCUAUAACAAUGUAAAAUUGAUGAUGAAUGGAUCCAUGAUGGCGUCUGUGAAAGCCAAUGAAGUAGUUCCUGUUAGUCAUUAUGGACAUGCAGUGGCUACGAUGAUGUGUAAUCCAACAAUACCAAACUGUCAUCUUGGUGAAUGCCCAUACUGCCCUGGUAAACAGCCCCUGAGAGAGAUGAUUUUAAAAUGAUAACGAUGUCGAUGAAGUAGAGUUUAAGCAAUGGACAUCUACUGAUCGCUCAAAACUAGAGACUUUGGUAGAGCCAAUAGAAGAUUUUGCGGAAGCAUUUAUUGAGAAACUUGACACUCUUAAGCGACAUGAUUUUAUUGCAAAACAGCAAUCUCAGUAUCUUUGCAAACGAAAGGAAGGUCUAGUAGAAGGAGAAUUUUUUGUUAUAGGUGACUUUUCAGAAAUCUUUUCGUUUGUUGUCCAAGAUGAAGCACAAUCAUUCCACUGGAAUAACAGCAUGGCAACACUGCAACCAUUUGUUUAUUAUUUCAAAAAGGAUGGACAAAUCAACCACAGCAACUUUGUACUAAUAUCAGAUUGCCAUACUCACGACACUGUUGCAGUUCACCUUUUUCAGAAAGAAUUGAUGGGACAUCUUUCAGAAAAGUUUCAGGUGCUGAAAGCAAUUAUCUAUUUUUCUGAUGGCUGUGCAGGGCACUAGAAAAACCUCAAGAAUUUUUGUAACCUGUGCAUUCAUCAAUAUGAUUUUGGUGUGCCGGCUGAAUGACAUUUUUUGCAACAAGCCAUGGCAAGGGGCCUUCUGAUGGCAUUGGAGGCACUAUCAAAAGAGAAAAAACCAAAGCAAGUCUGCAGCGACCUAACAGUGAUCAAAUUUUGUCAACUCUGAAGCUAUUUGAGUUUGUUGAUUCCCAUCUUAAAGGCAUCAAUGCAAAAUUUCUCACUGCUGCUGACUUGUAUUCGGUAGAAGAAAUUCUUCAUGAAAGAUUUCAGACUACUAAAACGAUUGCUGGAACAUAAAAAUUACAUUGUUUCAAACCAAUUUCAAAAUAUUCUCUUCUUGUCUCAGACAGAAUACAGUGAAAGUGAAGUUCAAGUAGUCAAAGCAGGCUGUGGUCAUAUUGAGCUCAGUAAGAUUACUGGCUAUGUUGCUGUAGUUUAUGACAGCAAGUGGUGGGUGGCAUAUGUUUCAAGCAUUCAACCAGGAACCAAUGAAGUGACAAUAAGCUUCCUGCAUCCCCAUGGCCCAAACCCAUCAUUUGUGUAUCCAGAACCUUUUGAAAUGCUUGUUGUUCAUGUCUCAGACGUACUUGUGCAACUUAAUCCGGUCACUUUUACAGGUCGCACCUACACAUUAUCAAAAGGGGAAUCACAAGUAGCAAGCAUGUCAUUACAAAACAGAUUACAGAUGAAAUAAUUUUCUGAAACAGAAAUUCUCUCUAACUGCAAUGAACAUGACACUUGAUAUUAAAAUCAAACUACCCCUUGUAUGCAUUGCAUGAAGACUUACAUUGACUUUUAACCUUUCAAGAUAAUACUCAUCAGUAUUCUGAGACUGAUUGUGAUAAAACCCAUGCCAACCCCAAUUAUAUAUUUUAUGAAGUGCUUUAUCAUGAAUUUAUCUUAAUGAAAAACAUUUUUCAUGAAAAUUGGCGAUGCCAUUUGGGUGUUGUCAGCCAUUGAAAAAUAACAUUGUACCUCAGCCCUUGAGCCUUUGAGGCUAGCAUCAAUUUCACUGGAAAUUUAGUUUCAGCUGGUCAAGUGCUUUCAUUUGACACUAAUUCCAUCUUUAUAGGUUGGAAUUGCUUAGCUAAACAUAAUACUAGAUUUUAGACAAAAUCCAUGACAAAAAUUUCAAGUUUGGAUAUUUUUGUUACACUUGACAUAGAAUGUCCCGAGUAACUGAACAUCAGUAGAAAAAUGGAUUUGGGGUCAAGGCCUCUUUCAAUGAAAACUAUGUCAUGAAAGUGAUGAAAUUUGAAGAAGAAAAGUACAAUAGUUAACUCUGUACAAAGAAAAACAAGGCACAUAUGGCUAUUUUUCUACUUUUUAAAGAAUUUGUUCAAUGGCCCGGAUAUCAGCAUUAUAUCAGCCUUCCAGAUCUUGUAGUUGGAACUUUUAUUUUUUUUGUAAAACAUGCGUCAAAGGUACCCAGCAAAUAUCAUCAUUGUGGGGCCAAUGAAAUGACCUGGCAGGCCCGUACGGAUGAAUAAAUUUGCAACAAAAUACUUGAAAUACAUGGAUACAUGCAACAAAAUCUGAAUUCUCAACCUUUACUACUGUUGGUUUCUGUAGCAGAUUGUGAUGGAGGACAUAUUCAUUAUCAUCACUGCAUCUCUGCAACAGUAUUUUCUGCAACAGGCACAAAUUGGUGAAAAGUGCUAGUGCCGGGAACUGCAUAUGUUCCAUGAAACCUUUUCUCUAGAUCUAUACGUUUCAAUUUGGUGGCUUCUUCUGAGGAAUAAAAUAACGUUAUUUCUGCAAUGUUCUCACUACAAAAUCUGAACAUAUUUUCGGCAGAUAAUAUUUGAUCAGAAAUGGUACGCUGUAAACUUUGGCGGUAAGCCCUUAACAGUUCCACCUAUAUUGUCACAAGGCUGCUUGCCAUGACUUGUGGCAAAAAGGACCAUCUAGCAAAAAGACCAAAAUCUUCCUAUGCUUGGAAAGUUUUAGAAAGUUUUUCCUAUAGAAAGUUUUUGCUAUUCUUAUAUACUAGCCUUUUACCGUGUUCUCCAGAUCUUGCAAGACAAGGUUUUGAACUUGAUGGACAUCAUGAUUGUGGUCUUCCAUUAGGAAGCAAUAAGAUUUAUGGCAUAGGUUUGCUCCAUUUUUGUAAUAUGCUACAACAGGAUGCAGAGUACAUUUAAGAUUUGUCCAAUAGAACCUUGGACCUCAUCUUGAACUACAAAUUUGUAAUUCUCAGCAAAAUCACCUAAGAACAAAGCCUCUGAUUGACUCAAAUUUUUCUUCCUGGCUUUCAAAUACCUUGCCUGCAACUUUGCAAGGAAAGAGUGUACAGUGAGCUUUUGAAGUUGCUCUCCAACAAAUUGAAACGAUCAGUUGUUGUCCAUUGACAAAAUUCAAUUGCUUCAUAAUCAUCAAAAUUCUUAAGGAGAUUGCAAAGGUGAUUCCUCAAGUCAAAAGAAGUUUUAGGACACUAUUGACACUUGCGUGGCAUACAGUCUUUGUAAAAAAACGAUCAAUGUAAGUAAAUUGUACCAGGAAAAAUUUUAAAAUAAUUAACAAUGUUUCAAGCAUAGCCCGUUAUCAAGUGAGAUAUAAAAGCGAUGAUAGAACUAAAAAACGUUGAAGGAAUAUGGAAUUCGACGAAUGGAAUAAGAAGACGGAUGUAAGAGCAUGGAAAAAGCUAAUAAAAAUAAAUAUAUAUAUAUACAUAUACGCAAAUACAGAAUUUAUGUUUAUGUAUAUAUAUGCACACUAAUAUGAAGAAAAAGAAAAAACAAAGAAAAAGGAGGAAAGUUUAUUGAAAAUACGUAAACUGUUUAUUAAGUCCAGAAGGAUAUAGAGUUCCAAGUUUAAAAAUUAUCCGUUUUUCCAGUGACUUUCUCUUUGCACUGUCGGUUAGGGCAAACAAGAGGCCAAGAACUACCAUGUCAUCUUCUGUGUGAUUCGCCAGGUUAAAAUGUUUGGAAAUGUUGCUAUCAGGAUCACUGUCGUGUUUGUUGUUAAGGUGGAUUUUGUUCCUGACAUUACGUAAAUGCUCACCAAACCUGCUGUUAAUCUGGCGUGAUGUUUCACCAAUAUAAAGAAUAUUACAUUUGGUGCAAGAGAUGCAGUAUAUGACACAUGAGGAAGAAUGGGUGAAGCUUGAUUUAACAGAACUUGACUUGUUACCAUUAGAAAUGGUGGUAGAUGGGUUGAUAUGGUUGCAGGUUUGACAGAGAUGGUGGUGGCAAGGUGAGGUACCAGGAGAUUCAGGUGAACGAAGGCUGCUGUGUACAAGGUAGUCUUUGAUGUUUUUAUCCUUUUUGUAGGCCAACAGAGGCGGAGCUUUGAAUAUUAUUUUUGUAAUUCAGUCGUUGUGUAGAAUGGAGAGGUUGUUGUAUAUAAUAUCUUUAAUUUGUUUGUUGAGUGGGUGGUAGGUGAGAGCAAAAGCUAUACGGUUAUCGGCAUUUGUUCUGUCGAGCGGUUUAAGGGCUUCAUCCUGAGUGAUGUUGUUGACUUUAGCGAUAGCAGACAUAGUUAUCUUUGCAGGGUAGUGAUUGUGAUGGAGAAAGGAUGUCAUUUCUUUUGCUUUUUUUUAAAAAUCAUUAGUGUAGUUAGAAAUUGUUAGUGUAGUUGAUGAAAUUUAGUAGAGAUGCAAGUGGUAAUGAUGUAGCUCCGACAAUGUCAUCAAUGUAUCUCUUGAUUGGCAAGGGAAAGGACUGUGAUCAUAUGAACUGUAGAUCAAGUGUUCCUGAUAACCAACAAAAAGGCAAGCAUAGCUAGGACCAAGUUUACUUCCCAUAGCAACACCAGUUGUUUGAAGGUAGAAAUAACCAUUAAAAGAAAAUGCAUUUGUAGUUAACACAAGCUCGGCUAGACGAAGAAGAGUGUUGGUAGGUGGGGUUUGUUUAGGGUGUUGAUCGAGAAAAAACUUUAGUGCUUCUAAACCAUCAUCAUGAGGAUGGCAUGUAUAAAGUUAUUUAACGUCCAUUGUAAAUAAAUAUCUGUUGGAGCCUUUAAUUUCGAAAUCCUUGAAAAGAAGCAGGGCAUGCGAUGUAUCCUUGACAAACGUAGGCAGUUGUGGUUGAUGGGCGUAAAUAUGCUAUCAAGGUAAGCUGCAAUUUGUGAUGUUGGACAGGAGACGGCUAAUACAGUAGGACGGCCAGGGUUAUCAGGUUUGUGUAUCUUUGGGAGCAUAUAGAAAACAGAUGUACGGGGAUGUUGAAAAUAUAAUUUAGUAGCGUUUUCAGGAAGAUUGCCAAGACUGAUUUCUUCUUUAAUAAUAUUGAUGACGGUUUUUUUGAAAGAUCUAGUAGGAUUGGUAGUUUUUUUGGCAUAGGAUGAUGAAUUUAACUGUGAAUCGCCUUCUUGAAUAUAUAAAUCUUUACGCCAUACAACAAUACGACCCCCUUUAUCUGCUGGUUUAAUAACAAUAUCAUCUCUUGAUUUGAGGUUGUGGUGUCCAGUUUGACUUAGUUUGAAAAAGGUUGUUUAUAAUAGCCGCUUGAUCUGAUAAUGGUCCUAUAGGAGUAGAAGAGAAGCUGUCAGAGUUCUUUUCCUUGAAAAAUGCUUUAAGACGGAGGCGGCGAAAGAAGGAUUUGGUAUCUUGUUUGGUUUGAAACUCGUCGAUGUAUGAACAGAGUUGUACAAAUUUAAGACCUUUUUUUAAGCACAUCACGUUCAUCAGAUGUUAAUGGUAAAUCCUCAGGUAUUGUUUGUACAAUGUUUUUGGUAGGCUCAGCUGUAGACAAGGAAGAAACGGCAUUGGUGGAAACACAAAGAUGAUCAAGUUUGUUGUUUUAUACCGCACACAUUUUAGUAUAUUUAUACAGUCUUUGUGUUCAGGAUCGCAUACAAUGAAGCUGAAUAGCUUUUUAUAAUUUUCAACAAUCGGAGCAAGAGCCAAUUUUAUAGUCUUGUGUAUGGUGCAUACACAUACUGUGCAAGAGUGCACCGUUUAGGUCUUAGCGAACAGAAUUUAGAAAAACUUAUCUGGACUUCUGGAAACUUAGCUUUGAAGGAGGUAUAGAGCUCUCGUAAAUUACAGAGAAGAAGUCGCUCUCAAGCAUGCUUAUUUCUGCCUAUGCUGACAUAGUUAUUUCGAUCUGGCAUAUUCUUCAUCAUGGUCUUGAAUAUUCUUCAUCAUGGUAAAAACUGAAUACCAAAUCAGCUGCAGUAUUUGAAAGCCCUCUACUUUUUUGGAUCUGGGCAGGCUAGGAUCCCCUUUUCUUUUGCCAAUUUUCUUGCUGCCUGAACAGAAUAUUCACAUAUUCAAAAAAAUCCAGCACAUUCUUUGUUUGUCCAGCUUGAUGGUACAAGCAUUAAAAUUUGAAUUUUUGUGCAUAUCAAGCAUCAGUUCGUCAAAAGCUGCAGCUUUCUCUAAAUUUACCUUAUCUUGUGGGGUAUCUUUGAGCUCGAACACAUGUUCAGGAACAAUCGAUGUCCUGGCAACUUUCUCUGUCAAUGUAGUUACAAUUGUUUCAAGCUUACGUUUUUCAGCUUUUAACUUUGCUUGGGCUGGUUGUGCAUAAACUUACUACGAUCAGCCUCUGCUGAAACUGAUUACUUAAAGUGCAUAUGACACGAAAAUCUUUAUUCGCCCCCAUUACGUAAUUGAGUAUGCUGAUAACGAAAAUCAUCAUAAAAUUUUCGAAAAACAAACACUUUCGUAAUUACAGCUGUUUCAAGGUCGAUUUUCGCUUCAAAUUCUGUCACAAGGGAUUGGGUCGAGUUUGACAGGAAGUGACGUAAAGUGGUUGUGUUAGCGAAAAUUUAGAUUGCUAACUAACAAGAAGUUAUGCGGCGGAGUUUUACUUGCGAGUUUAUGAACAUGUCUCACGGCAAAUAUUCAAGCUCGAGGGCGUCAGCUUUUGACGUAAGUGAAGGGGAAGAGCUUUUAGGUGCUGCUGAUGGGCUAUUUUUGCCUUGCAAGAACGAACCAGUCUUUUUUCUGCGGAUAAUUCAGACGCGGAACCAGGCGAAGCUGGCAUGGCUCGAGGCUUUCAUGACCGGGCAGAGGACGAAGAUGGAAUACAAAAAUCCCAACAGCGUGAUCGAUGGCGAGGAAUUAUUACUUUGAGUCAAUGGUAUCUCUGUGCAAUGGCAUACAGUCUUGGUGUCUGUCAGAGACAAACGUAGAUACUUCAAUUCCAGAACUUCGGAGAGAUUCAAAACCUUGUUGAUGCCAAAACAACUCCAUCUGUGCAGAGCUUCCGUUAACGCUGCUUGCCUGUGAAGAACGAGAAACACAAAUUUCAAUGUUUACAUUUAACAACAAACAUGAUCCCAGAUUAAUUUUUUGGUCUUUGACCAAGGCUGACCAGGUCAAAGACCACUAUUUCUGUUAUACAGAAACGACUGACUCCGUGAUUUAAUUGAAAGUUUUUAUAUCAUGUUUUGUUACUUGGUGACUUCUGUUUAUUGUUAAUCGAUUCUCACUUGCAUUUUGAAUCUUUAUCCUAUAGAAUAUCAUUUCCCUGCUUCUUAAAUAUUUCUUGAGUUGCCAACCCCCUGCUUUUUUAGUUUCCAAAACCUUUUUCGCUUUUAUAUAAAAUGUUGAAGUAGUUUACAUUUGUUUAAAUGGUUUAAAAAAAUAACUGCAAAAUUGAAUAUUUGGGUUAUUUUUUUGUAUUAGAAACGGUGAUAUGGACCCCACACAGAGAGACAAGGAGUCCCUUUUUCCAUAAAGCGAGUGCCCCCGGUGUUGUCGAGUCAUUAUCAAUAACGUAUCUUAGCUGUUAAUAGAACGUUGUUAGGCAGUUAUAAAAAAACAAUAGGAAACUUAUUACUCACCAUGCUUUUUUCAUUCUUGCUUCGUUCUUUGUCUUGUUUUGGUUUGCGGACUGAGGGUAGAGCAUCACGUCGAAAAAAUGUUUUGGUAUUUUCGGUGUCAAAACCAGGAGGAGAGGGAAAUGUACGGGAAAGAUCAGUCGGAAAAAGGUGAUAUUGAAAAAGAUGAUGGCUCGAUAUCUUUACGCUGCAUUUUUAAUAAGUAAUGCCAAGCGGCGAAAUUCUGUUGGGGCAGGUUUUCCAGGAUGGUAGUCAAGCACAACGGUAUCUUUCUCAAGGGGUAUUCGUUCCAUAAAGUCAUGCACAACACUUUAUUUCAAUUUUUAUCAAUUUUAUAAUGAACCAAAAAAAUUUUCUAAAUUACUUUCCGACCUUUGAUGGCAUUGCUUGAGUUAUCUAGAUAAAACUUAUUACAAUUAUGGAGAAAAAAAAUCUUUAGGGGGACAACAGUAGUGCCUGCACAUAGUGAAACCAUACAGAAGCCUUGUUCUAUUCAACGGAUACACAACCACUUUACGUCACAGGGGUCACGUGACCACAGGUUCGACCGCGUUUUUCUUGUGACACAUUUUAGCUCGAGUGGGUGUCGAAAAACCCCGUUUUUUGGGAAAAGUAAGUCGCAAAUGAAAAAACUAAGUUCACCAUCGUUACCAGCGAUGUUUCUUUGAUGAUUUAAGCGAAUAAAAAUUUUCGUGUCAUAUGCACUUUAAGCUGUGAAAUAUCAUCAUCUUCCAGAAUUUCUUCAUACUCUUAUCCAUCUCAGUUUCAGUAAGAAUGCUGUUAACAACCUUUCUGCAGUUACAACAAAGAUUUUUUCUUGGCAUUUUUUCGUGACUUUGCUGCACAGUCUUUAAUAAAUUCCAUGGUAAUACUUCCUAAUGACCCCGUUGAAUGAUUAAAUAAUAAAAGGUAAAGAUGGUGCAUACCAUUGGAACAUAGGCCGAUGAAGUAAAUACUAAAGAGACUCAGAUAUGCAUACCUUUAACUGGUUUGUCUUGUUUUUUUAAUGGAUCACAACAAACUCUCUGAAAUGAAUCAAAGCGCACUAAAUAAUACUGCUUGUGGUGAUUGCAAAGAUUUCUUAUGUCAUCAUUUGCUUCAGUUCUCAGGAAGAGAAGAUCUUUUUCUCUGUUUUCCAGAUCAACAAAAUUGAUCAAACUCACCGUCUUAGAAAACGUUAUGACAACUUUCUCCAAUUUCCAAACCUACUGGACAUCGAGAGGUAAAUCAGUUUUGCACAUGUCUAGGAUACACCAAUUGAAUAUAUAAGAUAAUAGACCUGUUUCCUCUCUUAGAUAUUCAAUUGGCCAUUUUUGUCUAACCAUCUAGUUGCAUAUGACCUGAUAAGCUCAUUUUGAUCUACCUGCACAUCAGAGUGUUCAGAAGGGGAAGUAAGCACAGCUGUUCUUGUUGCUUCAGUACAGCCUAUCAAAAGCUUGAAUGAAAGUAAAAUGUGUGCUUUUGUUGUCAUAAUUAUGUGCAAAUAGAAUCACAGUUUCUUCGAUCAUUCUAAAGCACAUCUCUUUGUAAGAACAAAUUGGGAUCUUGAGGCUUCUAAAAUCAAACUCGAGUCUCUAAUCAUACAAGUGACAUUUUUCAAAUUUUCAGUGGCAGAUUCAAAGGAUUGGAAAUUAAAAAAAAAAUCACUCAGAAGAUUUGAAGAGCCACAAAGUCAAGUCAGACUUCUUGGCAAAAUGUAGACUGACACCAUCCUUUUUCAGUAACUGAAUAGGCUUACUGGUGUCAGACAUGGACACUUGCAUGCCAGUAGACUCCAGUAGGACAUCACCACAACUUGUUGUUUAGCAUGAUUAAUGGGCAGCUUUUCUGUUGUCUUUUUGUCUGAGAUCUUUGCACAGUCAAGAUUUCAGGAAAUUUUGGAUUUUCUAACUUCCAUCCAUCAACCUGUCCAACUUUUGCCAAACCCUUUGCCAACAAGCUCUUAGAGGAAUACAAAGGUUGAUUUUAAAUCUAUGAGUUGUAGGUUUUGCUUGAUAUUUUGUUUAUCCUAAGUUCUGUUUUCAGAUUAUUUUGACAGAAUUUUAUUUCCUGUAUCAUGGAUGACUUAUACAGUACAUUCUGCACUGUACUGAGUUUAAAGCAGUUUUUGCACUUCAAGGUUUUGAUCUCGAGGUCUGCAGUGCCCUGGCUCAGAUGGUUUGUUUGAAACUCACAGUGUUCUGAGAUUGGAUUCUUCAAAAGGUCUUAAAAAAUACAUACCUCGAACAUGAUAACAAAGGGCAGGACCAUAGUUAAAGCCCCAUGUUGUAAACUGUAAUGGAAUGGCAAUUUUGGUAAAGAGCAUAUCUAGAUCAAAGUCUCCAUUUUUUGGGCUUCAAGAAACCCAAGUAGAGAAAGCACUUUCAACCCUAGUUAACAUUUUGCAAAAUUUUUACAAAACUCCUUCACUUGCUCUAAGUUUAAAUCAGUAUUAUGUUUCCUAGCUUCUUCAAAGUUUGUAACCUUAUUUUCAGAUUUCUGUAUUGCUCCCAGUUAUUCAGUGAUGCCAGCCAAAAUGUCAUGAUUAAAAAAAUGAUUUGAAGAAUCAAAAUCUUUUAUAGAUAGCAAAUACUGGAUUUUACAUGCACUUGGGUUAUCUAGAAAGGCAGCUGCAUGCUUCUCAAUAUCAAAUUUGCCAUAUCGCUUUACUAGUUUUUCAUUCAAAUUUGCAAAAUUAUGGAAAGACCCCAGGAAUAGUGUUGAUAUCUAUGAGUAGCUCAAAGGGUUUAAAUAUUUUACAUUCUGAAACUGGAGGGUAAUCGAUCCAACUGAAACAGUCAUCAAGAAGUGAUACAAAUGAAAACAUCCAAACAAACAAGGGCUCUGCAGAUUGCUCAAUCUCAGUUUGUAAAAUGUCAAAUUUCAUUGUAUUCCUCAAAAAAUGAUCUUUUGGAAAUAAUUCAUAAACAUUUUUCCAGAACUUGUAAAAUUCACUGAUCUCAAUCUUCUUUACACUAACACACUGAGCCAGACAUUUAUUGAAAUUAAUAGGCAUCUAUGAUAAACUCAUUGCAACUAGUAGUUUCAUGAACAAUUUUUAAAGCCUUGUUGAAAUAAACCAUGGCCACUUAGAAUUCAUUGUUUGCAGCUUUUAACACAGCCAGUUGGUUAAAGACCUUUCCGAGGAUAGUAUAAUUUUCUGGCAAAACCUUAUCUUAAUAAUCAUAGCAAAGCUCUGCCCUUUUGUAAAGCUUCUGCAAAACUACCCUGGCAUGCUAAAGAAGAGCUAGCAAGGCUAUGUGUUGCAAUUUUAUGAUACUGGCCAAUUAUAUUGCCUUCUUUGAAAACUACAGCAUUCAAUGUGUGUUUACUUUGAUUUAAAAAUCCAGUAUGGAUACAACGAUUUGCUGCAUUUUUCAACAAAGGAUUGCAAAAUGGCCUCAAGGAGGUAGAUGAAAACUUCUCAAAACCAGAGGACUUAAUUUCAGAAAGAUUUGUAAUUUGACUGUAAGCAUGCAACAGUAUUUUCUGUGCAUUCUUCAAAUAUCCUUGUUCUAUUAGCAGUUCUGCAUGUAUUAUAGAAUGCAUGUAUGAUUUUUCGAUCUACUCGUGAGUAAGCUGUGGCUACAAAAAUAACAUCUUUGUUAUCCUUAAAGGCAUUGAGUCAUGAUAUAAUGGAUUGGGUAUACCCUAAGUGCAAAAUCCGCUGAGUCAUGAUUUUCAUGACUGCGAUGCUAUUGGUUGACCUGGAACUGGUCACAUGAACUCACCUCGUACUGAUUGACAAAACAAUUUCCAUCAAUAGCAAGUUGUCAACAGCGGAUGCAAAUAUCACAUGAAAUAGCAGCGAUCACGCCGA